AAUGUAUAUAUCAAAUUUAUAAAAAAAUUUAAAAAAAUAAAAUUAUUUGAUACUCUAUUUCAUUAAUUUAAAUUGAGGGAUAAUAAAAAUAUA
rnacentral:miRNA from 1 species